UGCCCUGUGGUGUAACUGGCAACAUCUCGCACUUUGACUGCGAAGAGUCCAGGUUCGAUCCCUGGCGGGGCAA
rfam:Leptolyngbya valderiana BDT 20041 contig00392, whole genome shotgun sequence.